rnacentral:rRNA from 1 species
UACGAAGGGGGCUAGCGUUGCUCGGAAUCACUGGGCGUAAAGGGUGCGUAGGCGGGUCUUUAAGUCAGGGGUGAAAUCCUGGAGCUCAACUCCCAGAACUGCCUUUGAUACUGAAGAUCUUGAGUUCGGGAGAGGUGAGUGGAACUGCGAGUGUAGAGGUGAAAUUCGUAGAUAUUCGCAAGAACACCAGUGGCGAAGGCGGCUCACUGGCCCGAUACUGACGCUGAGGCA